UUGAUGUAGAUUCUCCUGUUGCUCACUGC
rnacentral:piRNA from 2 species